AUUGAACGCUGGCGGCAUGCUUUACACAUGCAAGUCGAACGGCAGCACGGACUUCGGUCUGGUGGCGAGUGGCGAACGGGUGAGUAAUAUAUCGGAACGUACCCUGGAGUGGGGGAUAACGUAGCGAAAGUUACGCUAAUACCGCAUACGAUCUAAGGAUGAAAGUGGGGGAUCGCAAGACCUCAUGCUCCUGGAGCGGCCGAUAUCUGAUUAGCUAGUUGGUGAGGUAAAGGCUCACCAAGGCGACGAUCAGUAGCUGGUCUGAGAGGACGACCAGCCACACUGGAACUGAGACACGGUCCAGACGCCUACGGGAGGGAGCAAUGGGGAAUUUUGGACAAUGGGGGCAACCCUGAUCCAGCAAUGCCGCGUGAGUGAAGAAGGCCUUCGGGUUGUAAAGCUCUUUUGUCAGGGGAUAAAAUACCCGUGCGCGGGGAAUUGAAGGUACCUGAUGAAUAAGCCACGGCUAACUACGUGCCAGCCGCCGCAGUAA
rnacentral:rRNA from 1 species